rnacentral:rRNA from 1 species
GGCGCACGGGUUGAGUAACACGUGAGUAAUCUGCCCCUAAGUCAGGGAUAACUCCGCGAAAGCGGGGCUAAUACCCGAUAUGCUCACGACUACUGCGGUAGACGUGAGAAAAGGUGGCCUCUGGCAUAAGCUAUCGCUUGGGGAUGAGCUCGCGGACCAUUAGCUAGUUGGUAGGGUAAUGGCCUACCAAGGCUAUGAUGGUUAGCUGGCCUGAGAGGGUGGCCAGCCACACUGGAACUGAGAUACGGUCCAGACUCCUACGGGAGGCAGCAGUGGGGAAUCUUGCGCAAUGGGGGAAACCCUGACGCAGCAACGCCGUGUGAGUGAUGAAGGCUUUCGGGUCGUAAAGCUCUGUCAGAUGGGAAGAAUUAGUUUGCUGA